rnacentral:rRNA from 1 species
UACGUAGGGGGCUAGCGUUGUCCGUAUUUAUUGGGCGUAAAGAGCGUGUAGGCGGCCAUGUAGGUCCGGUGUGAAAACUCGAGGCUUAACCUCGAGAUGUCAUCGGAAACCAUUUGGCUAGAGUCCGGAAGAGGAGAGUGGAAUUCCUGGUGUAGCGGUGAAAUGCGCAGAUAUCAGGAAGAACACCAAUGGCGAAAGCAGCUCUCUGGGACGGUACUGACGCUGAGACGCGAAAGCGUGGGGAGCGAACAGG